CCAACUCGAUACGCACCACCUCUUCGUCGAUUUUAAAACCUGCCAUUGAUAGCACAGCUAGAAAUCACCUCUAUGCCGCUAGGUGUGAGUUCGGUAUCCCCGCAAAACUAAUACGGUUUUGUAAGAUGACGUUGUGCGCUACCACAACUUCUGUUAGAUGGCGAAUUAGCACAACCCCAAGCUCUAUUUCAGUAUUCAACUGUUGUUAUUGUCGGCUUGACCACCCACUUGUCUAGAUUGCGGUGAAAGCGAUGUGAAAUAUGCAAAAACAAAGGAAACAAAGAAUAAUUAUAGCAAAAGCGGCUUUAUCACCAUGUUGGUGCGGACCACAAUGAAGUACACCUAUACACGCAGAUAUAGUAGUAGAUGGAGGUUUCAGCAAUUGUAAAAAUUUUCUAACUAAAUCGUUCAAAACACCAGUUGACCAACCCGUACAACGAAUGGCAGGCACAC